rnacentral:lncRNA from 1 species
CAUAUACGUAUAAUACGUAUGUAUACAUAAUCUAUGCAUAUAAUACAUAUGUAUACAUAAUCUGUGCGUAUAUAAUACAUAUGUAUACAUAAUCUGUGCGUAUAUAAUACAUAUGUAUACAUAAGCUGUGCAUAUAUAAUACAUAUGUAUACAUAAGCUGUGCGUAUAUAAUACAUAUGUAUACAUAAGCUGUGCGUAUAGAAUACAUAUGUAUACAUAAGCUGUGCGUAUAGAAUACAUAUGUAUACAUAAUCUGUGCGUAUAGAAUACAUAUGUAUACAUAAUCUGUGCGUAUAGAAUACAUAUGUAUACAUAAUCUGUGCGUAUAUAAUACAUAUGUAUACAUAAGCUGUGCGUAUAGAAUACAUAUGUAUACAUAAGCUGUGCGUAUAUAAUACAUAUGUAUACAUAAGCUGUGCGUAUAGAAUACAUAUGUAUACAUAAUCUGUGCGUAUAGAAUAUGUAUACAUAAGCUGUGCGUAUAUAAUACAUAUGUAUACAUAAGCUGUGCGUAUAUAAUACAUAUGUAUACAUAAGCUGUGCGUAUAUAAUACAUAUGUAUACAUAAGCUGUGCGUAUAUAAUACAUAUGUAUACAUAAGCUGUGCGUAUAGAAUACAUAUGUAUACAUAAGCUGUGCGUAUAUAAUACAUAUGUAUACAUAACCUGUGCAUAUAUAAUACAUAUGUAUACAUAAUCUGUACAUAUAUAAUACAUAUGUAUAUAUAAAGGGAUUGGUAACCAAAUCUCUAUAUAAUAUUAUAUCUCUGUUACGGGAGUGGGGCAGGGAAGUGCUGGAUAGAGAAGGGCAGGGUCCUUGGCAAAAGCUCCAACUUCAGGCCUGUGCCCACAGACCUAAGUGAGAAGAUGCGCUCCUGUUUUCAAGCCUGAAUGUUGCAUUUUCCAAGACCACUGUGGCCUGCCACACUCCCCAUCCUGUGUCCAUACAAACCUGAGACCUUAGAGGGCACACCCACAAGUGGCUGCACAUUGAGACCAGCAGACCAGCAGACCAGCAGACUAGAAGACCAGCAGACCAGCAGACCAGCAGACUAGCAGACCAGCAGACCAGUGAUGGUGGAACAAUGCAGCAGAAAAAGAGAGAAAAGGAGAGACGUCUGGACACCGAGGGGAGUUCAGCCUGAGGUGGUUGGAGAAGAGUCCGCUCACUGGGCCCAACUCCAGAGGAAACCACAUUCCCACUCCAUCCCCCUUUCUGGCUCCCCAUCCAUCUUGCUGAGAGCCACCUCCAUCACUCAAUAAAACCUUGCUCUCAUCCUUCAA